rnacentral:rRNA from 1 species
GAUUCCAGCGGCCGGUCCACCGGGAUGGUGUCGUAUCGGCUGGUGGAAUUUUCUUUUUCUUACAUCUACUGGAUACCCAACCCUGCUCUUGAGUGAAUGGGGUUAAGGAAGCGCGGGUCGAGGCGAGUCGCGGCAACGCGGCCACGUGCGGUUCGUGUGGGGGUUCCAGUUCGUUUACCUUGAAUAAAUUAGAGUGUUCAAAGCAGGCGUUUCACGGCCUUUGAAUAGUUCAGCAUGGGAUAAUGGAAUAUGACUUUGGUCUUAUUUCGUUGGUUUUCGAGAUCGAAGUA